UUCCGGUUGAUCCUGCCGGACCCCACUGCUAUCGGGAUAGGACUAAGACAUGCUAGUCAAGCGCUCACCAGCCAAAGGUGAGUGCGGCACACAGCUCAGUAACACGUGGCUAACCUGCCCUUGGGACGAGGACACCCCCGGGAAACUGGGGCUAAUCCUCGAUAGGUGAAGAACUCUGGAAUGAGUCUCCGCCCAAAAGGCGUUUGCGCUAUGCUCGUAGGCGCCGCCCAAGGAUGGGGCCGCGACCGAUCAGGUUGUUGGCGAGGUAAUGGCUCACCAAGCCUUUUACCGGUGCGGGCCGUGGGAGCGGGAGCCCGGAGAUGGGCACUGAGACAAGGGCCCAGGCCCUACGGGGCGCAGCAGUCGCGAAAACUUUGCAAUACACGAAAGUGUGACAGGGCUAUCCCGAGUGCCAUCCGCUGAGGAAGGCUUUUACUCAGUUUAGAACGCUGGGGGAAUAAGGAGAGGGCAAGACUGGUGUCAGCCGCCGCGGUAAUACCAGC
rnacentral:rRNA from 1 species